AGAGUUUGAUCCUGGCUCAGAACGAACGCUGGCGGCAGGCCUAACACAUGCAAGUCGAACGAGAAGCCACCUUCGGGUGGUGGACAGUGGCAGACGGGUGAGUAACGCGUGGGAACGUGCCUUUCGGUUCGGGAUAACCCAGGGAAACUUGGGCUAAUACCGGAUACGCCCUCCGGGGGAAAGAUUCAUUGCCGAAAGAUCGGCCCGCGUCGGAUUAGCUAGUUGGUAGGGUAAUGGCCUACCAAGGCGACGAUCCGUAGCUGGUCUGAGAGGAUGACCAGCCACACUGGGACUGAGACACGGCCCAGACUCCUACGGGAGGCAGCAGUGGGGAAUAUUGGACAAUGGGCGAAAGCCUGAUCCAGCCAUGCCGCGUGGGUGAAGAAGGCCUUAGGGUUGUAAACCCCUUUCAGCGGGGAAGAUAAUGACGGUACCCGCAGAAGAAGUCCCGGCUAACUCCGUGCCAGCAGCCGCGGUAAUACGGAGGGGACUAGCGUUGUUCGGAAUUACUGGGCGUAAAGCGCACGUAGGCGGAUUGUUAAGUCAGGGGUGAAAUCCCGAGGCUCAACCUCGGAACUGCCUUUGAUACUGGCAAUCUCGAGUCCGGAAGAGGUGAGUGGAAUUCCUAGUGUAGAGGUGAAAUUCGUAGAUAUUAGGAAGAACACCAGUGGCGAAGGCGGCUCACUGGUCCGGUACUGACGCUGAG
rnacentral:rRNA from 2 species